rnacentral:misc_RNA from 1 species
UACGGAGGGUGCAAGCGCUGUCCGGAUUUAAUGGGCUUAAAGGGUGCGUAGGCGGGAGAUUAAGUCAGGGGUGAAAGCCCACAGCUCAACUGGGGAACUGCCAUUGAUACUGGUUUUCUUGAGUGUAGAUGAGGCAGGCGGAAUUUACGAUGUAGCGGUGAAAUGCAUAGAUAUCGUAAAGAACACCUAUAGCGAAGGCAGCUUGCUAAACUACUACUGACGCUGAGGCACGAAAGCAUGGGGAGCGAACAGG